AUCCAUCGUCGGGGCGACAAUGCAAAAAGGAGGGGUAGAUUGUGGCAGGAUGAAUGUUAUCCCUCGGUCCAACCCACUUUCAGCCUGGCCCAUUAGGGGGCGCUAGUAUAAAUAGUGGCCAUUUGAGUGUCCCUGGAUCGCUUACCUGUGAUCUCCUUCUUGGUCACCUGACUUCCUGUUGGUGUUGCUGAGAUUAGUUACUCUUCUGAAGCCUCCAUCGCAGCUGGUAGGUGUUUACUCAUUGUAGUGUGUAUAUUACCUUGCUUGGUGGUAAACAGCUAUUGUUUGUAGGUCGUAGCUGUAGAAGCCUCCUCUGAGCCAUUCCGCUUACGUUUUAUGACACGGCUUACUUGGUAUGUAAUCAACUUCUGUUACGCUCUCUGCCUUCUGUUGUUCUUUUAUAGUAAUUAUUUAUUAUGCUUUGCAGGAAGUGUGGGCCUUAGUGUUGCACCAAGCUACGCAAACUGAAGGGCUGCUGCUUUGCUGUGAUGCUUUGCUUUGUUUUACUUUAUUUUUACUGUCUGUUCCGGCUGCGAAGUUUGCUUCCUACUGCUGCCAGCCUUUAAAGUGGACGUCGGCGUUGACAACGGCCAUAUGCAUGCCACGCGGGUCGGCUGGCGCGCAUACUGAUUGACUGACUGGAUAAUUAACUUACAGCCGUGCAGACGGCAAGUUGGAGCAAUACGGCGAUUCCGUUUGCUCCAUAUUUUAGAGUUUUACCCAGAUUGUAUGUUGUUUUACUGUAUUUGAUUUGUAGUUUGGCUUUUUGUUACGCCACUGGUGGGAGGCCCUUUUUCUAGCUGUAGAUCACCAGUGUGGUCCUGCAGUUGGGUUAUCCCCCAGCGCUGCAUAUUAGUUUUGUUGCAAUAUAUUAAAAUUUUCUUUGUUUCUUUUAUUCAGAUGCGGAGCGCCGACGUGGAGGAGACCAGGGUGCCUUGGUGGUGGGAUCCUCUGAGUGUACACACCUGCCUUGUUUAAUUUAUUAGUGUGAGUGUGUGAUAGUGUGCUGCACUUGUGUCUUGGUGUAUUUUCUUCUUUUUUUUGAGUUUGUGUGUGGCAUCCCUGCCCUCCACUGGAUAAAAGCAAAGCAGCAGCUACUUUGGUGUGGGAUUCCACAGCUGUGUUACAGAGAUGGAGGAAGAGUUACAGGAACUCAGGGACUUGAUCGCGCAGCUGAAAGCAGACAAUGAGAGGCUGCGUCAGGAGAGGGCUGUUGGGUCAGAUGCGGAGCGCCGACGUGGAGGAGACCAGGGUGCCUUGGUGGUGGGAUCCUCUGAGUGUACACACCUGCCUUGUUUAAUUUAUUAGUGUGAGUGUGUGAUAGUGUGCUGCACUUGUGUCUUGGUGUAUUUUCUUCUUUUUUUUGAGUUUGUGUGUGGCAUCCCUGCCCUCCACUGGUAAGCCUCAGCUCUGAAUACCUUUUUUAGCAUACUUAUACACUGAUAUUUAUGACUGUGCUUUUAAAUGUUUUAAUUAAUAAAUUGUCAAUUUAUUUUAUCAUUGAACCUCGUCUCUGUAUUGAGUAUAACAAACCUAACUGCCUUCGUAGUGAUUAGUGUUGCCUCCAGUAUUCUCUGGGUGAAAUUCCCAGGGUGGCGUUGUCUUUUUAAAACUGUGAAGAGUAAUUACUUUAUUUCCACCUCGUGU